rnacentral:rRNA from 1 species
UACAGAGGGUGCGAGCGUUGUCCGGAAUUACUGGGCGUAAAGGGCGCGUAGGCGGCCCGAUAAGUCGGGGGUGAAAGUCAGCGGCUCAACCGCUGGACUGCCUUCGAGACUGUUAGGCUUGAGCAUGGUAGAGGCUGGCGGAAUUCCCGGUGUAGCGGUGGAAUGCGUAGAGAUCGGGAAGAACAUCGGUGGCGAAGGCGGCCAGCUGGGCCAUUGCUGACGCUGAUGCGCGACAGCGUGGGGAGCAAACGGG